UACGUAGGGUGCAAGCGUUAAUCGGAAUUACUGGGCGUAAAGCGCACGUAGGCGGAUUGUUAAGUCGGGGGUGAAAUCCUGGAGCUCAACUCCAGAACUGCCUUUGAUACUGGCGAUCUUGAGUCCGGGAGAGGUGAGUGGAACUCCGAGUGUAGAGGUGAAAUUCGUAGAUAUUCGGAAGAACACCCGUGGCGAAGGCGGCUCUCUGGGACGGUACUGACGCUGAGACGCGAAAGCGUGGGGAGCGAACAGG
rnacentral:rRNA from 1 species